GUCCCUGUAACGCAAUGGGUACGCGUUGGACUUCUAAUCCAAAAGUCGUGGGGUGAAAUCGCACCUGGGAUG